rnacentral:sRNA from 1 species
AAUCUAUAUGACAAACCUGUACAUGUACCCCUAAAGUUGAAAUAGAAGUUAAAAACAAAACACAAAAAACAUGACCCUGAGUUCUUUCAGGGCAACAAUCCAGUUUAACUGGUCAAGUUCUAAUGGUAAGUACCACGUCGUUUUCUGCUUGUUUCUUAAUCUAGCCACCUGCUCAGCUUGUGAUGGAGGGUGCACAUUCUCCAAGUAGGGUAAUAGUACCCAUCCUUUAUGAAGCAUGUCUAUGGUCGGGACCUCUAACUGUGUUUAUUUUAUUGGAUCCAUACAGCCCAAUAAGACAGGUCCUACCUCUAAGGAUCAAGAACACGGUGUCAGAGGAAGAGGUAGAAAAAUAUACCAUAGUGAGGAAUCUGUGCCAAGAGGAGUCAUGAGAAGAGGUUUCUGCACCAGCCUAGGAAAGUUGAGAUGAGUGCCCUUAGGUGAUCCUGUGCAAGGGAGGCACUGCCUUGGGAUGUCAGUCAUGGGAAGCCGCCCUAGCCACAGAAAUGUUUUGUCAGAUUUCCGACAGGGCUAUGGCAACCGAGGGCAUAGUCUGUAGGCAAUGGACAUGGCAUUCGACUCAGUAUUCUUGUUUCGUUUAUGAUACAAGGGCAUGUUUUCCAGUAAGUUCUGUUUUGAGAGAGUGAGCGAGAAAGGACAGAUCUCCCGGUUGACUGGCUUUGGAGCAGAUGGGACACAGCAGCUUCUGAAAGCCUCCUGGUUCUCCUGCAAAUAAAUUUCUCAGAUGCAUAUAUUUAGGGAAACAAUUCAUCAAUGAAGAUGACAAAACCAUCUGGCUCUAGAGACUUAAAAAAAUUUUUAGAGGUUGUAAAUGUUUACAUUCUGAUGAAGAGUGUGUGUCUAGGUUUUAUUUCAAGGAUUUGAUGAGUUUGGUUUGUGGCUUGUUUUUAGGGAUUUUUUAACCUGGCCCUGCUAAUCGAGGAAGGUACUGUAAUCCCACACCAUAUCUUGGAUUUCUUGGAAAUUGACUCAACUCUCCAUUCUAAUAACAUCUCCAUUCUCCAGGAACUGUACGAAAGGUGCUGGAGUCACAGUAACGAGGAGUCCUUCAGCCCCUGCUCCUUGGCCUGGCUUUACCUGCACUUGCGGCUUCUCUGGGGUGCUAUCCUGCACUCAGCCCUGAUCUACUUUCUGGGAACCUUUCUGCUAUCCAUAUUGAUCGCCUGGACUGUGCAGUAUUUCCAGUCUGUCUCAGCGAGCGAUCCCCCUUCAAGACCAUCCCAGGCCUCCCCAGACACUGCCACAUCCACUGCAAGUCCAGCUGUGACUCCAGCUGCAGAUGCCUCUGACCAAGACCAGCCCACAGUAACUAAUAACCCGGAGCCACGUGGGUGAACUGUGCACUCCAGUUCUCUCCAGAUGAGAGAGAAUCUUUUCAACAGUUGGUAUCGGGAAGCUGGGGCCAGGGCAUGAUCCUGAUAAACAACUUAAAUGUCUUGUCAACUGGAUGCAAAUUUUGCAAUUGGUGUCAUUUUUUUUUAAAGUCAAAUUACAAGGAAGUACCCAGAUCAGGCAGUGGUAAUACCAAAGGUCAUCAAACACAUACAAGGAACAUCUUGAUCACAGGGCAUGUGGGGAAGUUUACUGGGCCAUCACAGACUUUUGUUCUAGUGAUUGUAUGUAUUAGGAGUCAUAGCUUGCCCUACGGCAGAUCUGGAUUCUUAUACACUAAGAUGUGUCUUAAGAAUCAUAUUGCGUGGUUCAUCCCUUUAUUGAAGAACAGAAAAUUAUUACUACUCUACAAGGUAGAUAAUAUUUUGGUACCUGUGCUUGCCACAGCCCUGUUCCUCAAAGCCAAAUUGAUAGAUUUCUCUUUGACUUCCAAGACCUAACAGUUAUAAGGCACCUUGAAAUAAAUUGUUUAUGCCUGGAAAUGCAGGGAGGGCGAUAGCUUUGUAAAUUGGUUUACAUUUUUCUCCUUGAAUUUUUCUAGGGUCGUAGAGCUUCCGAAUCAUUUAAUGACAUUGUCGGAUAUCUUUUACAUUUCAAUUGCAAUCCACGAAAUUACAUUUAGAAGAUUCUUAGUACUUAACUGUAGUCUUCUCCAUGAAUUACCCGUUAGGAUAGACUGGCAGCAACGGAAUAUGCAGAAAGUAAGCCUUUAGCUUAUAGUUUCAUCCCUACCCCUUAUGCCUGCCUGAGUCUGUACAGGGAUGUGUGUGUGUGUGUGUGUGUGUGUGUGUGUGUGUGUGUUAGAGAGGAAGAGGAAGAGCAGAAUGUCUGUAUACUACAUGCUGCUAAGGUAGUAAAUAAAUCAGUAAUGCAAUAUUGUGGGUCCAAACUACUCUUUGCACUACUUUAUUUACAGUAGUAAAUAAAAUUAUUUUUAUACAAUUG